UCGAUGAGUAGGGCGGGACACGUGGUAUCCUGUCUGAAUAUGGGGGGACCAUCCUCCAAGGCUAAAUACUCCUGACUGACCGAUAGUGAACCAGUACCGUGAGGGAAAGGCGAAAAGAACCCCGGCGAGGGGAGUGAAAAAGAACCUGAAACCGUGUACGUACAAGCAGUGGGAGCCUCUUAAUGGGGUGACUGCGUACCUUUUGUAUAAUGGGUCAGCGACUUAUAUUCUGUAGCAAGGUUAACCGAAUAGGGGAGCCGAAGGGAAACCGAGUCUUAACUGGGCGUUAAGUUGCAGGGUAUAGACCCGAAACCCGGUGAUCUAGCCAUGGGCAGGUUGAAGGUUGGGUAACACUAACUGGAGGACCGAACCGACUAAUGUUGAAAAAUUAGCGGAUGACUUGUGGCUGGGGGUGAAAGGCCAAUCAAACCGGGAGAUAGCUGGUUCUCCCCGAAAGCUAUUUAGGUAGCGCCUCGUGAAUUCAUCUCCGGGGGUAGAGCACUGUUUCGGCAAGGGGGUCAUCCCGACUUACCAACCCGAUGCAAACUGCGAAUACCGGAGAAUGUUAUCACGGGAGACACACGGCGGGUGCUAACGUCCGUCGUGAAGAGGGAAACAACCCAGACCGCCAGCUAAGGUCCCAAAGUCAUGGUUAAGUGGGAAACGAUGUGGGAAGGCCCAGACAGCCAGGAUGUUGGCUUAGAAGCAGCCAUCAUUUAAAGAAAGCGUAAUAGCUCACUGGUCGAGUCGGCCUGCGCGGAAGAUGUAACGGGGCUAAACCAUGCACCGAAGCUGCGGCAGCGACACUAUGUGUUGUUGGGUAGGGGAGCGUUCUGUAAGCCUGUGAAGGUGGCCUGUGAGGGUUGCUGGAGGUAUCAGAAGUGCGAAUGCUGACAUAAGUAACGAUAAAGCGGGUGAAAAGCCCGCUCGCCGGAAGACCAAGGGUUCCUGUCCAACGUUAAUCGGGGCAGGGUGAGUCGACCCCUAAGGCGAGGCCGAAAGGCGUAGUCGAUGGGAAACAGGUUAAUAUUCCUGUACUUGGUGUUACUGCGAAGGGGGGACGGAGAAGGCUAUGUUGGCCGGGCGACGGUUGUCCCGGUUUAAGCGUGUAGGCUGGUUUUCCAGGCAAAUCCGGAAAACCAAGGCUGAGGCGUGAUGACGAAGCACUACGGUGCUGAAGCGACAAAUGCCCUGCUUCCAGGAAAAGCCUCUAAGCAUCAGGUAACAUCAAAUCGUACCCCAAACCGACACAGGUGGUCAGGUAGAGAAUACCAAGGCGCUUGAGAGAACUCGGGUGAAGGAACUAGGCAAAAUGGUGCCGUAACUUCGGGAGAAGGCACGCUGAUAUGUAGGUGAAGCGACUUGCUCGUGGAGCUGAAAUCAGUCGAAGAUACCAGCUGGCUGCAACUGUUUAUUAAAAACACAGCACUGUGCAAACACGAAAGUGGACGUAUACGGUGUGACGCCUGCCCGGUGCCGGAAGGUUAAUUGAUGGGGUUAGCGGUAACGCGAAGCUCUUGAUCGAAGCCCCGGUAAACGGCGGCCGUAACUAUAACGGUCCUAAGGUAGCGAAAUUCCUUGUCGGGUAAGUUCCGACCUGCACGAAUGGCGUAAUGAUGGCCAGGCUGUCUCCACCCGAGACUCAGUGAAAUUGAACUCGCUGUGAAGAUGCAGUGUACCCGCGGCAAGACGGAAAGACCCCGUGAACCUUUACUAUAGCUUGACACUGAACAUUGAGCCUUGAUGUGUAGGAUAGGUGGGAGGCUUUGAAGUGUGGACGCCAGUCUGCAUGGAGCCGACCUUGAAAUACCACCCUUUAAUGUUUGAUGUUCUAACGUUGGCCCGUAAUCCGGGUUGCGGACAGUGUCUGGUGGGUAGUUUGACUGGGGCGGUCUCCUCCUAAAGAGUAACGGAGGAGCACGAAGGUUGGCUAAUCCUGGUCGGACAUCAGGAGGUUAGUGCAAUGGCAUAAGCCAGCUUGACUGCGAGCGUGACGGCGCGAGCAGGUGCGAAAGCAGGUCAUAGUGAUCCGGUGGUUCUGAAUGGAAGGGCCAUCGCUCAACGGAUAAAAGGUACUCCGGGGAUAACAGGCUGAUACCGCCCAAGAGUUCAUAUCGACGGCGGUGUUUGGCACCUCGAUGUCGGCUCAUCACAUCCUGGGGCUGAAGUAGGUCCCAAGGGUAUGGCUGUUCGCCAUUUAAAGUGGUACGCGAGCUGGGUUUAGAACGUCGUGAGACAGUUCGGUCCCUAUCUGCCGUGGGCGCUGGAGAACUGAGGGGGGCUGCUCCUAGUACGAGAGGACCGGAGUGGACGCAUCACUGGUGUUCGGGUUGUCAUGCCAAUGGCACUGCCCGGUAGCUAAAUGCGGAAGAGAUAAGUGCUGAAAGCAUCUAAGCACGAAACUUGCCCCGAGAUGAGUUCUCCCUGAGACUUAGAGUCUCCUGAAGGAACGUUGAAGACGACGACGUUGAUAGGCCGGGUGUGUAAGCGCAGCGAUGCGUUGAGCUAACCGGUACUAAUGAACCGUGAGGCUUAACCUUACAACGCCGAAG
rnacentral:rRNA from 1 species